UUAAAUUAAUAAGAAAAAUAAAAUGAAAUAAUGGUAAAGUGUUAGGAUGGCGAAAAAUUUUGGGGGUGGUAUGGAGAGAUAAUGGGCGAUGUUUCUCAGGGCUGCUUCGAGUGGGAUUAGGGGCGGUGUGGGAACCUAGAGUGGGAGAGAUUAAGCUGAAGGAAGAUUUUGUGGUAAGGGGUGAUAUUGUGGGGUUGUUAGAAUAAACAUUUGUUGUGUAGAAUUAUUGGUGAUGGCCUGGAUAUGGUUUUAUGUGAAUUGAUAGCACCAGGAGAUACCAGCUGUGAUGGUUUUGUGUCCAGAAGGGAGAACUAAACCAGCUCAAAGGAUUAGGAA
rnacentral:lncRNA from 1 species